GAUGAACGCUGGCGGCGUGCCUAAUACAUGCAAGUCGAGCGAACGGACGAGAAGCUUGCUUCUCUGAUGUUAGCGGCGGACGGGUGAGUAACACGUGGAUAACCUACCUAUAAGACUGGGAUAACUUCGGGAAACCGGAGCUAAUACCGGAUAAUAUUUUGAACCGCAUGGUUCAAAAGUGAAAGACGGUCUUGCUGUCACUUAUAGAUGGAUCCGCGCUGCAUUAGCUAGUUGGUAAGGUAACGGCUUACCAAGGCAACGAUGCAUAGCCGACCUGAGAGGGUGAUCGGCCACACUGGAACUGAGACACGGUCCAGACUCCUACGGGAGGCAGCAGUAGGGAAUCUUCCGCAAUGGGCGAAAGCCUGACGGAGCAACGCCGCGUGAGUGAUGAAGGUCUUCGGAUCGUAAAACUCUGUUAUUAGGGAAGAACAUAUGUGUAAGUAACUGUGCACAUCUUGACGGUACCUAAUCAGAAAGCCACGGCUAACUACGUGCCAGCAGCCGCGGUAAUACGUAGGUGGCAAGCGUUAUCCGGAAUUAUUGGGCGUAAAGCGCGCGUAGGCGGUUUUUUAAGUCUGAUGUGAAAGCCCACGGCUCAACCGUGGAGGGUCAUUGGAAACUGGAAAACUUGAGUGCAGAAGAGGAAAGUGGAAUUCCAUGUGUAGCGGUGAAAUGCGCAGAGAUAUGGAGGAACACCAGUGGCGAAGGCGACUUUCUGGUCUGUAACUGACGCUGAUGUGCGAAAGCGUGGAGAUCAAACAGGAUUAGAUACCCUGGUAGUCCACGCCGUAAACGAUGAGUGCUAAGUGUUAGGGGGUUUCCGCCCCUUAGUGCUGCAGCUAACGCAUUAAGCACUCCGCCUGGGGAGUACGACCGCAAGGUUGAAACUCAGAGGAAUUGACGGGGACCCGCACAAGCGGUGGAGCACGUGGUUUAAUUCGAAGCAACGCGAAGAACCUUACCAAAUCUUGACAUCCUUUGACAACUCUAGAGAUAGAGCCUUCCCCUUCGGGGGACAAAGUGACAGGUGGUGCAUGGUUGUCGUCAGCUCGUGUCGUGAGAUGUUGGGUUAAGUCCCGCAACGAGCGCAACCCUUAAGCUUAGUUGCCAUCAUUAAGUUGGGCACUCUAAGUUGACUGCCGGUGACAAACCGGAGGAAGGUGGGGAUGACGUCAAAUCAUCAUGCCCCUUAUGAUUUGGGCUACACACGUGCUACAAUGGACAAUACAAAGGGCAGCGAAACCGCGAGGUCAAGCAAAUCCCAUAAAGUUGUUCUCAGUUCGGAUUGUAGUCUGCAACUCGACUACAUGAAGCUGGAAUCGCUAGUAAUCGUAGAUCAGCAUGCUACGGUGAAUACGUUCCCGGGUCU
rnacentral:rRNA from 1 species